rnacentral:rRNA from 1 species
AUUGAACGCUGGCGGCAUGCCUUACACAUGCAAGUCGAACGGCAGCACGGGAGCAAUCCUGGUGGCGAGUGGCGAACGGGUGAGUAAUACAUCGGAACGUGCCCUGUAGUGGGGGAUAACUAGUCGAAAGACUAGCUAAUACCGCAUACGACCUGAGGGUGAAAGUGGGGGACCGCAAGGCCUCAUGCUAUAGGAGCGGCCGAUGUCUGAUUAGCUAGUUGGUGGGGUAAAGGCCUACCAAGGCGACGAUCAGUAGCUGGUCUGAGAGGACGAUCAGCCACACUGGGACUGAGACACGGCCCAGACUCCUACGGGAGGCAGCAGUGGGGAAUUUUGGACAAUGGGGGCAACCCUGAUCCAGCAAUGUCGCGUGUGUGAAGAAGGCCUUCGGGUUGUAAAGCACUUUUGUCCGGAAAGAAAUCGCUUCGGUUAAUACCUGGAGUGGAUGACGGUACCGGAAGAAUAAGGACCGGCUAACUACGUGCCAGCCGCCGCGGUAAGAC